rnacentral:rRNA from 1 species
GAUGAACGCUGGCGGCAUGCCUAAUACAUGCAAGUCGGACGAGGAUGUUUCUACAUCCUAGUGGCGAACGGGUGAGUAACACGUAGGGAACCUGCCCCUAAGACGAGGAUAACUACUGGAAACGGUAGCUAAUACUGGAUAGGAUAAGUUGACGCAUGUUGGCUUAUUUAAAGGUGCCUAUAAAGCACCGCUUAGGGAUGGCCCUGCGGCGCAUUAGCUAGUUGGUGGGGUAACGGCCUACCAAGGCGACGAUGCGUAGCUGUGCUGAGAGGCAGAACAGCCACACUGGGACUGAGACACGGCCCAGACUCCUACGGGAGGCAGCAAUAGGGAAUUUUCGGCAAUGGGGGGAACCCUGACCGAGCGAUGCCGCGUGAGUGAUGAAGGUCUUCGGACUGUAAAACUCUAGUUAUUAGGGAAGAAUACUAUAGGGAGGAAAUGACCUUAUAGAUGACGGUACCUAAUGAGGAAGCCCCGGCCAACUAGUGCCAGCAGCCG